CCCCACACAUAGUUAAGGAGGUCCAUAUAAUCCUACAUUCUUUUUUAAACUUAAAAAAAAUUGUAACUUAUAGAAGAGGUAUAGGACACUGCUUAAAAAUGUAUAACUUCGUGAUAAAUGAUUUAAAAUGUGAACACUCUUGUAACUACACCUGGGUUAAAAAAGAGAACUUUGCAGGUCACCCUGGACGCCCUCCUCAAGCUCCUUCCACAGCCCCUUCCACAUCCUAAAAAGUAACCAUUAUUCUGGCUUGUAUGGUAAUCAUUUCUGAGCUUUUCUUUACAGUUUUUAUCAUCCAAAUGGGUGUCCCUAAUCACUAAACUAAAGUUUAACUUUGUCUGUUUUCAAAAAUGUUUAUAUAUGUCUUUUAAACCAUGUGAGGGAUUUAAAAGCUCCUUGAGACAAAUUUCACAUGAACCCACAGAGAAGAGCAAAACACUGGCGGACAGACCUACACGUGGUGCUGAUGUGGUUUCACAGCAAGACCAGGUGACGCUGGGAGUGUGGCAUCAAGGCAGGAUCUGGGGCAGGGGCAGGGGGGUCUCCCACCACGCAGGGGUGGGGCGCGGGGAGCCGCUCCACUCCUUUUCACCUGCAGCCCCCCAGUCGCCCCCCAUCAGUCAUCAGUGUGCCACUGAAAGAAGAGAAAAGGCACUGGUGAAGCGUCCCGCUCUCCCCUGGAAGGACAGGGCAGAAAGAGGCCCCCAGGAGCCCACGAAGGCCUUUAUGAUGGGCUCGAAAGGAACCAGUGCACCUCUGUCGCAUGAUAACACUUGGGUCUUCUCAGUGUGUCUCAGUCCUUGAAUUAACGAGCACGGGAACUGUAUGGGAGAGAGGGAGACUUAGAAAGUGCCAACACUCAUACCCAACCAGUCACCUUUCCUGCUCAAGCAAAGAUUCGGAAACCCAAGGGAAGACGAGAGAAAAUUAGACAAAAUACAAGAAAAAGCCAGCUGAGCUGUUGCGGUGGGGCUGAGAGCUCUGAGAAAAGUUCAGGGAAAUGGAAGUGAGAAGGGGAUUUGCAAAAGGGCAGUGAAGACCGGGUUCCACUCUUUUGGCUGAGCCUGCUAAGUUUCGACGUUCAUUUUCUUUCCUUUAAAAAAACGUUGCGGGCUGCAGCUGAGCUACAUGGCACCGAAAUGGAGCGGCUGCAAGCGAGAGCGAAAAAGGAAAGCCCGAGUCCGAUCCCAGACUUGUAUUCUCUCUGGGUGGGCAGAAGGUUUUAUUAUUUUUUUUAUUUCAUACAUCAUUAAAAUGCUUCAGUAUUUCCCCCAAGUCAGCAUGCUUUUAAAAAGUUUAAUGAGGAAGGAAAAUACUACAGAAAAGUAAAAUUCUGAUUAUUUGUAGCAAGGUGCUAUGGAAAGCAGAGGCCUGGCUUUCCUCCCUCAAUCCCUUUUCUGGAGGUGUGGUUCCUUCUAGAAACUUCUUUUUCCCCAGGCGUGAGACCUUUCCAGCAUACAAUUAAAAGUCAGAGAAGGCCCGUGAUUCGGAGAGCGUAUCCUUUCUGUGGCCUUGGGCCAGGUGCUUUGCUUCUGGGUGCCUCAGUUUCCCCCUCUGUCAAAUGGGAUAAUAAUACUUAAUUACUUCACCAUGCUGAGGUAAGGAUUAAUUAGUUGGUGCUUUGAAGCCAGAAAAUGCUACAACAGAGCUAAGCAUUAUUAUUAAUAAUACAUUUCAACUGAGUUGAUAAUUGCAUUUGCUGUCUCAAAUUUCCCUGGUGGUUUCAGCGGCUGAACUUAUAUUUCAGCUUCACUGGUUAAAAAAAAAAAGGAGUCCUACUGGUAGAAAUUAGCUCUGGUCUUCAUUGCGAAGAUGGACACUUAUGUGCCGUGGGUGAAAGGAUAUCUGUUCUAUAGAAACUGAAGAGGAGAUUCUGGAAAAAUCCCAAACGCCACAGAAAGUGCCAGGACAGCUAAGCAGCUUUAAAAAUGAAGAAAAUGCUAGUCAAAAAUGUGCCAGAUGAGAAGCAAGCAGGUCUAGGAGGUUACCACGUUCCAGAAUUGAUUCAAUUCCUAUGCUUUGGACCUAACCACAAAGUCAUUUAUCUGUUGUCUGCUGUGGGUUGUUUUUUCUCUUCAGUCCCUCUUUCUGGUCUCCACCCCUUCCUGUGCUAGGUCACUUCAGGGUGUGUUGGUGUGUGUGUGUGUUUAAAAUCUCUUCUUUGAUCCCUGUCUGUCUCCUCCUUUCCUUUAGGUCAACUCAAAGAAGCAUUUUUGCAUCAUUUAACUCCAACCCAUCCAAAUGAGAUGAAAAUGUCAGUGAGGCGAUGUCACUGCAGAGCCCCUGGUAUGUGGCAGAUGUUCAAGAAAUAUUUGUUCAGUGGAGCCAGGUCUUUGAGACUUCCUGAGGUCCUGCUGUUGAACAUCUAGUAAAGUGAUGUCAUAAAUGAAGGGGCCGUGGUGUGCAGCUUCCCCAAGAGUUGAAGCUCCGAACCAGCCUUCGGGACUCCCAGGUGCUACACAAUCUUGAACUGAUAGACUGGGGAUAACAGUAAUUAGAGUCUUCAAAGUCUUGGCAGCAUUCAUUAGCAAGCUCUCCGGGAGAAAGACCGAGAGAAGAGGAAUAAAUGACAUAGGAUCGUUCCCAUUUUGCAGACAUGGGAAAUCAAGGCAGAAAAUUAGAUGCCUUUCCUAAUACCGCAUUCUGAAAACUGAAUUUAAAAUGGAGGUGGCUUACCUCCCCGUCCCUUUGACAAGAACAGACGAUUUGCCCUCAUCAGCUCUUUUCCUCUGCUGCUGGGAGGAUGUCAUAGGAAUUGGUGAAACUGGAAACACAGGCCGUGUGUUCUGCUCUUGGUUGUACAACUGGGCUUGGGGAUGAGGAUGGGGAACGCAGAGUGAGAGGGACCAGAUGUCUCAGCAUAAAAAGAUUCAUCGUGCUAAAAGUGAUGUCUCAUCUGAUGUCUCAAAGCACUAGUGAAUGGAUCACACAUUUCCAGUCUGCAGCAUAUUUUGUCUCUCCAGUGAAAGCAAGACAAGAGGGGGGCGGCCCUGUGGCGUAGUGGUUAAGUUCACAGGCUCCGCUUCCGUGACCCAGUGUUCGCUGGUUGGAAUCCUGGGCAUGGAGCUACACAGCUCUCAUCAGGCCAAGCUGUGGCGGCAUCCCACAGAAGAACUGGAAUGGCUUGCAACUAGG
rnacentral:lncRNA from 1 species